GUCGCGCCGGUGCGGUUACAACUCCGACGCCGCCGCGAUCAGCGUCGCCUCGAGUGCGAGCGUCGAACGCGACGC
rnacentral:tRNA from 1 species